rnacentral:rRNA from 1 species
UACGUAGGGGGCAAGCGUUGUCCGGAAUCACUGGGCGUAAAGCGCACGUAGGCGGACUCUUAAGUCGGUGGUGAAAUCCUGGAGCUCAACUCCAGAACUGCCUUCGAUACUGGGAGUCUCGAGUCCGGGAGAGGUGAGUGGAACUGCGAGUGUAGAGGUGAAAUUCGUAGAUAUUCGCAAGAACACCAGUGGCGAAGGCGGCCUUCUGGACGAUGACUGACGCUGAGACGCGAAAGCGUGGGAGCAAACAGG